GUGGGAGGCUGGGUGGGACCUUCUCGGAAGCAGGAGAUGCCGUGCUGGCUGACGAAGGAGAGCUGGGCGGGACCAGCCGAGACGAGAGUUAUGCGGAGUCAGCGGAGACGAGGAAGAGCUGGGCGGGACCCAGGGGCGCAAAAAUGGGAUGCAAAUCUGAUUGUCACCUUCGCAUGAUGUAAAAUAGAAUGACUCCAAAGUGAAACCCAGAUGAAGAUAUCAAGAGGCCUGGACAGAUGCUGACCUGCAGAACACCACACUGAGCAGACUUGUGCCACUGUUUUGCAUAAAAUGGAGCAUGAAGAGACAGGCCAUGGACCACAGCUCUAGUUUUUACGCACCCACCCCCACACACAGAUUCAGAUAAGAUUUCUCACUGAUUAAAUGUUCAUAUGAAAGUUUGUUACGUUUUGGUGGUCAAGUUAUAAUUCAUUGUCAUAAAUCUAAAUGAAGAGUUUGGUUCCAAAAUGAGAUAACUACGUUUUCAUUUUUUUUCAAAAAUCAUGUUUUUUAUUGAGCAUUCCAAUUAAUAGAAAUCAAAGUGCAGCUGGUUUGUUUUGAUUUAAGAUAUGAUAACUAAAAAAGUA